GGUCCUAUGGAGAUGGUUAUAGGAUUUGGCCUGCCCAAUGAUAAAUUUGAAUGGCCGCGGUAUUUUGACCGUGCAAAGGUAGCAUAAUAAUUAGUCCUUUAAUUGGGGUCUGGAAUGAAUGGUUGGACGAGAAGAUAGCUGUCUAGUGUAUUAUUAAUCAGAAUUUUAUUUUUAAGUGAAAAGGCUUAAAUUGGCUUGAGGGACGAUAAGACCCUAUAGAUCUUUAUAUCUUAGGUUGAGUGUAUAAAUAAGAGAACUAAGGGCGACUGGGAGGUAUUUUGUUGGGGUGAUGGAGAGAUAUAAAGAACUCUCUUAAAAGAAGUGGUUAAUUGCAUACUAGCAUUUAUUAGACGAUCCAUUGUUUGUGAUAAUUGGAUUAAGUUACCUUAGGGAUAACAGCGUAAUUUUUCUUGAGAGUUCAUAUCGACAGGAAAGUUUGCGACCUCGAUGUUGGAUUAAGAAUUUCUUAGUGGUGAAGAAGCUAUUAAAGAGGGUCUGUUCGACCUUUAAUUUCUUACA
rnacentral:rRNA from 1 species